rnacentral:piRNA from 1 species
GAUCAAAGACCUAAAUGUAGCCACUGAA